rnacentral:rRNA from 1 species
GGAUGAACGCUAGCGGCAGGCCUAACACAUGCAAGUCGAGGGGGAAGUUACUUUCGGGUAACUGAGACCGGCGUACGGGUGCGUAACGCGUAUACAAUCUGCCUUUCACUGGGGGAUAGCCCGAAGAAAUUUGGAUUAAUACCCCAUAGUAUAGUAGUGUGGCAUCACACAACUAUUAAAGCUUAGGUGGUGAAAGAUGAGUAUGCGUUCUAUUAGCUAGUUGGAGAGGUAACGGCUCCCCAAGGCUAUGAUAGAUAGGGGUUCUGAGAGGGAUGUCCCCCACACUGGUACUGAGAUACGGACCAGACUCCUACGGGAGGCAGCAGUGAGGAAUAUUGGACAAUGGUCGGAAGACUGAUCCAGCCAUGCCGCGUGCAGGAUGAAGGUCUUAUGGAUUGUAAACUGCUUUUGUAAGGGAAGAAUAAGGACUACGUGUAGUUUGAUGACGGUACCUUAUGAAUAAGCAUCGGCUAACUCCGUG